UACGAAGGGGGCGAGCGUUGUUCGGAAUUACUGGGCGUAAAGCGUGCGCAGGCGGUUGUGCAAGACCGAUGUGAAAUCCCCGGGCUUAACCUGGGAAUGGCAUUGGUGACUGCACGGCUAGAGUGUGUCAGAGGGGGGUAGAAUUCCACGUGUAGCAGUGAAAUGCGUAGAGAUGUGGAGGAAUACCGAUGGCGAAGGCAGCCCCCUGGGAUAACACUGACGCUCAUGCACGAAAGCGUGGGGAGCGAACAGG
rnacentral:rRNA from 1 species